AUUGAACGCUGGCGGCAUGCUUUACACAUGCAAGUCGAACGGUAGCAGGGAGCUUGCUCCGCUGACGAGUGGCGAACGGGUGAGUAAUGCGUCGGAACGUGCCGAGUAGUGGGGGAUAACGCAUCGAAAGGUGUGCUAAUACCGCAUACGUACUGAGGUAGAAAGUGGGGGACCUUCGGGCCUCACGCUAUUCGAGCGGCCGACGUCUGAUUAGCUAGUUGGUGAGGUAAAGGCUCACCAAGGCGACGAUCAGUAGCGGGUCCGAGAGGGUGAGCCACCAACCUGGGACUGAGACACGGCCCAGACUCCUACGGGAGGCAGCAGUGGGGAAUUUUGGACAAUGGGCGCAAGCCUGAUCCAGCCAUGCCGCGUGUCUGAAGAAGGCCUUCGGGUUGUAAAGGACUUUUGUCCGGGAGCAAAUGCUGGUGGCUAACAUCCACCGGAGCUGAGAGUACCGGAAGAAUAAGCACCGGCUAACUACGUGCCAGCCGCCGCAGUAAAAC
rnacentral:rRNA from 1 species